AUUGAACGCUGGCGGCAGGCCUAACACAUGCAAGUCGAACGGUAACAGGAAACAGCUUGCUGUUUCGCUGACGAGUGGCGGACGGGUGAGUAAUGUCUGGGAAACUGCCUGAUGGAGGGGGAUAUCUACUGGAAACGGUAGCUAAUACCGCAUAACGUCGCAAGACCAAAGAGGGGGACCCUCGGGCCUCUUGCCAUCGGAUGUGCCCAGAUGGGAUUAGCUUGUUGGUGGGGUAACAGCUCACCAAGGCGACGAUCCCUAGCUGGUCUGAGAGGAUGACCAGCCACACUGGAACUGAGACACGGUCCAGACUCCUACGGGAGGCAGCAGUGGGGAAUAUUGCACAAUGGGCGCAAGCCUGAUGCAGCCAUGCCGCGUGUAUGAAGAAGGCCUUCGGGUUGUAAAGUACUUUCAGCGGGGAGGAAGGGAGUAAAGUUAAUACCUUGGCUCAUUGACGUUACCCGCAGAAGAAGCACCGGCUAACUCCGUG
rnacentral:rRNA from 1 species